rnacentral:lncRNA from 1 species
AGGCUCCUGGGAGAAGCAGUGACGAGGCUGGGUGCCUGCAGGAAGACCCUCAGCUGGCUGCAUGUUCAGCCCUGCAGGGUUAGGUAAUUUUGUGCCCAGCAGAGCAGGGCGGUGCUCUGUCCUCUGGGAAAUACUGCCUUCCUGGAAUGUUCCCUCCAACCCAGAGUGCUGAGAAGGCUGGCAGGAUAGAGGCCAGAACAUGUCUGACGUCAGCGCCAGCCUGGACGGAGAGCUCGGAUCCCAGAGAAGGCUGAGCACAGGGAGGAGAGGGGCAUGGGCCUCUGCAUUUGAGCUGCUCUCGUCCUGAAGUUUGUGCCCUGGGCCCUGUGAGAACUCAGGGGCCAGCCUGUGACACCCCGGCCAGGCCAUGCGAGGGUGGCGCCGGGACGCCGCCCUCUGCGGCUCCUUUGGGGAGCACUGACCAGCACUCAGGGAUGGAUCCGUGCAGCGAGUUGUCGAGAGGAGAGAGUGGAGGAGGACUCCGCAGUAUCCCGGCUGAUGCAUAUUGAGUCAUCCAGAGGAGAGAGAGGGGGAGGACUCCGCAGUAUCCCGGCUGAUGCAUAAUUUGUUCUUCUUAUGCAUUUUACCACCAUUUUGGCUAGCAUUUGGUGCUUCAAGGAACAGCUGUUAGAAGCGAAAAUCAGAGAAAAAGGCAUUUGCGUUUCAAAGGCUUCGCUUUGUGGAUGACACAUCCCAGAGAUAGGAGGAACUCCUGGCAGCAGCCAUAGAUUUGGAAGGAUGCAUCCCCAUCAGGUAGCGGUGGAGGAAUCUCCAGGGAGGAGACAGAGAAGGGAGAGGACAGGAGGGAGAGGAGUAAGGGGUUUGGAUGCCUGUGGGUCCUCAGAGAGUGGCCUGAGAGCCAGACUUUCUCCCUUUCCCCUGAGAGCAACAUGGAGCUGGGGAAAGAGACCUCAGACACGCCACUCCCCUGCCUUCCUGAUGGCGACAGACACAGAGAGGCCUCAGGGCUGGGAGCCGGGAAGGUGGAGGAGCUGCCCAUGAGGCUGGUGCUUUGGCAGGGAAAGGGGCCCCCCAGGAGCUGCCACCUGCCCCAAAGGUGCACCUGGGAUGAAGAUGGGGGGGAGGCACCACAGCGACCUAGUUAUGGCGAGCAAGCUCUCACCAUACAGUAGAGGAGGAGACAGAAAUUAGUUCAGUUACAGAAAACAGAUACAUUGGUAGAAUUUACAUGUUAUAACAUAAUUCCAUUAAAAAGUUGGCAUACUCCUGAAAACCUACUUACUCUUCCCUUAAGAAUCAAGUAAUAUUAUGUUUAUUAGAAAUUAUUUGGAGAAAUCAAAAGAUUGGAAUUACAGUCUUAGCUUCACACUAAUUAUG